GUCGGGAUUCGCUUACUAAUAAUAAUAAUAAAAAGAUCUUGGAAGGACCGAAGAAGAAAACACGCUGUGGAAAGGACUGGCUUCCUUGGAGGGACCUGGGAACAUGUACAAUAGUUAAAAAGCAAAUGAUUUUUAGUUUGUGGCUCAGAAUGGCUUUAAAGUCACUAUGUAGCCCCUCCAAUUCGUGGCAAUCCUCCAGCCUCAGGCUCCCAAGUGCUGGGAUUGUAGGUGUGGACCACCUUGCCCGGACAAUCUAGAACAAAAGAAAAAAUGUUUGCCAUCCCAAGUCCUUUUGCAUCCAAGAUGUUUAUCUAAAAGUGAAAGUAGGGGAGAGAAAGGGAAGGGUAGAGUAAUGCUUUUCCAGUCCCAAGAGACUGUAGCUAGGAGCUGAAGGAGUCCCCAGGGGCAAACCUCCCUUUCAUUGCAUAUAAAAUUCUAUGCCAGAAUAGUAAUGCUGAGCAUCUUUAGUGAUGACCCAGGAAGAGAGCAAUUUUAAACCGUUUACAUAGAUUGAGAUUUAAGAGAAAUUCCAUACACCAGGAUAUAUUGUCUUUGUAUUUACUUUAAG
rnacentral:lncRNA from 1 species